rnacentral:rRNA from 1 species
AUGUCGAGCGCGCCGACCACGACUCUGCCUCGGAGACCAGUCGCACUCGAGAUGGAGCCCACGAGGAAGCGGGCGGGUGUGCCGAGGAGGGGGCGGAGCCCGAGCGCCCCGGCCGUGCAGCCGUGCCCCACCGCGUCGGCAACGGCGUGGCACUCCGUGGAGAGACAAAAACGUCCGUUAUGGUUGGCCGCGAGUAGAGCUUGUGCCACGGACGAUGGGAACUCGACGGGUACAGGGCCGAGCGCGAAUCUUGCUCCCGUGAGGCCCACGGCAUUGACGUCCUCCUCGCCGUGGCCCUCGCCACCUUCAUCACCCAGGUCGAGUCGCCCUCCCGUGGCGAUGGAGGUGGAGCCGCCGGCGCCGAGGAGCGGGGAUAGCCCGAACCCGAGCGUCCAGGUCGUACCCUGCCGCGUCGGCGAUGUUGUGGCACUCCUGGGAGAAAGGAGGGUGUCCGCUGUGGCUGGCCGCUACGUCGGCGCGUGCCACGAACGGGAGAACGACGAGGACGGGUCCGAGCGCGGAUCCUGCUCCCGCAUGGUCCACAUGGUUGAAGCCCUCUUGCGUGGUCGAGCGCACGGACGACGACUCUGCGAGGGGGCCGUCGUGCCGGAGCCGCCGACCGCGCAGGUUGAGCCGGCGGGUACGCCGAAGAGCGGGCGGAGUCCGAGCGCCCCGGCCGUGUGGCUGUGCUCCGCCACGUUGGAAACGGUGUGGCUGUUGCUGGCGGUGACGAGGGAGGGGCGCCCGCCGAGGAAGGGCCUUGCUGUGGGGAUGGCGGAUCCCGCUUGGGGUCAGCGGUGUGACGACGGCGAUAGGAAUGGCGCGCCACUGCCUGAGUUCCAUCGAGGAAGCAGAGACGGGGGCGGCGAGGUUGGAGGGAUUGGUUGCGUGUACGCAGCCGGAUUUGGGGCGCAUACCAGGGGAGAUUUUAUA